UACAUGGGGUGCAAACGUUGCUCGGAAUUAUUGGGCGUAAAGCGCGCGUAGGCGGUUACGUCAAGUCGGAUGUGAAAGCCCUCGGCUUAACUGAGGAAGUGCACCCGAAACUGAGUAGCUAGAGUACUAAAGAGGGUCGCGGAAUUCCCGGUGUAGAGGUGAAAUUCGUAGAUAUUGGGAAGAACACCGGUGGCGAAGGCGGCGACCUGGUCCUUUUACUGACGCUGAGGCGCGAAAGCGUGGGGAGCAAACAG
rnacentral:rRNA from 1 species